rnacentral:rRNA from 1 species
UGCCAGACUCCUACGGGAGGCAGCAGUGGGGAAUAUUGCACAAUGGGGGAAACCCUGAUGCAGCGACGCCGCGUGAGCGAUGAAGUAUUUCGGUAUGUAAAGCUCUAUCAGCAGGGAAGAAGAUGACGGUACCUGACUAAGAAGCCCCGGCUAACUACGUGCCAGCAGCCGCGGUAAUACGUAGGGGGCAAGCGUUAUCCGGAUUUACUGGGUGUAAAGGGAGCGUAGACGGCGAUGCAAGCCAGAUGUGAAAGCCCGGGGCUCAACCCCGGGACUGCAUUUGGAACUGUGUGGCCGGAGUGUCGGAGAGGCAGGCGGAAUUCCUAGUGUAGCGGUGAAAUGCGUAGAUAUUAGGAGGAACACCGGUGGCGAAGGCGGCCUGCUGGACUGUGACUGACGUUGAGGCCCGAAGGCGUGGGGAGCAAACAGGAUUAGAUACCCGAGUA